rnacentral:misc_RNA from 1 species
CCGAGUUUACAACUCCCAAACCCCUGUGAACAUACCUAUAUGUUGCCUCGGCGGAUCAGCCCGCGCCCCGUAAAAACGGGACGGCCCGCCCGCAGGAUCCACUAAACUCUGUUUUUAGUGGAACUUCUGAUGUAAACAAAACAAAUAAAUCA